UGAUUUAAUUCAGCCCACACCCCAGCACCCUCCAGGAUGGAGCUCUCUAUCCCAUUAUUCCCACUACCCACUAUCUGUGUUACAGUGCAGCCCCGGAUCAGAGCUCUGGCAGCCAAAAGAUGGAGUUGCCUUAGCAACAGGAGUGGCAUGAAAGUGCAGGGACUUGCUGGCAUCCCUUCAGCACCCUCACAUCCACAGGCUGAGGCAGCCAGCUCACACCCAGGUCAGAGGAAGGGAGGAGAGAGCAGAGCCUUACCAGCUGGAGUCAUGCCCCAGUCGCCCUGAGCUAUUACACCAGGAGUAAAUUGCAUGUAGGUUUUGCUUUGCUAAUUGCUGCCUUUAUCCCAGCUUCUGAGGCUGCAGUAGUAGGGUGAUAACCAGGAAUAAAUACAUUUAAAUAACAAACGACAGAAGCUCCAAAUUGCUGGCUAUAAUUUGUUGUUAAGUGCCACAUAAGUGGGGUCAAUUCUGUCCGAGCUAAAAUAGGUUGCCAGGCAAGAGCCAGAACAAAGGGAAAGCCCCAGGAAGCUCUGGGGGGAAGACUCUGCCCUCCGCCUGAAGGGCAGUGCUGCCCAAGACACAGAAGCUCAGCAGGAUCCCUAUGUAAAGAGCUGAGCAUGCAUUUCAGUCUGGUGACGGACCACAGAGUGAAGAAUGUGAUGAGUACAGAAAUCCAUUCACAAUGUGCACAGGACUUCCCCACAGGGCUAUCUCCAAUUCACAGCUACUCAGAGGUGCCCUGGAAAAGCUGAGGAUUGACCCUUGGGAAUGCUGCAGGCACAGGAGUCAAGCUGGAGAGCAGAUGCACUAGAAGGCAGAGCAUCUCCCUGGUCACUGCUGCUAACCUGCAUGUGUCGGCAAGCACUCAGCCUGCAGGGCAGUGUUUGUGUGUGCACUGGUGUAUGGUGUCAUAAUGGAAUUACAAUACCUAAAAUAACAGGGGGGAUUUCCAUGCAGGAGGUCUCAAACUUCAGCAUACCUUGGCUGCUCCUUCCCUCUGCAUGUCUGGGACUAGUGUGGCCUAUGGCAUCUAUUUGGCAGGUGAACUUUAUACUCUCCCAGCUAUCAAGCUGUGGCUGAUUGCCCAGCACCUGGAUGAGGAGUUCCCUGCCACUGAAGCCUCCAUGCGACAUCCCUGUAGGUAACAGAGAUCUCUUCAGGCAGGCAGGCAGUUGUUGUUCCAUAUGAAGUAAAGCCCUAACUAGCAUCUCUGCUUGUUCCAUUAUUUAAGCUUUCUCUUGGUCAAAUGUGCCCAAAUAACUCAGGUUGGAUACUAGCCAUUCAGCGAAGACUCCUAGAGCAAAAUUAAUAAUCCGCUGCCUCCUGUUCAGCAUGCUCAGUACCAUCUCAGCUGUUAAUUCUGCAGCCUGUGAGCAUUUGGAGUUUACAGUUAUUUUCCUAGGACAGAUGGCAGACAGCACUGUAGUAGAGGGGCAGAUGGCUGUGCACCUAUGAGCAAAAAAAAAAAAAAAAAUAGAAUAGAAUAAAGAAAAAAAAAAAGAAAAGAAAAAACCUGCA
rnacentral:lncRNA from 1 species